rnacentral:rRNA from 1 species
CCUACGGGAGGCAGCAGUGAGGCAUAUUGGUCAAUGGACGCAAGCCUGAACCAGCCACGCCGCGUGAAGGAAGACGGCUCUAUGAAUUGUAAACUUCUUUUGUAAGAGGGUAAACGCAGACACGCGUAUCUAUCUGAAACUAUCGUACGAAUAAGGAACGGCUAGCUCCGUGCCAGCCGCCGCGGUAAUACGGAGGAUUCAAGCGUUGUACGGAUUUAUUGGGUUUAAAGGGUGCGUAGCUGGUAGGUUAAGUUAGAGGUGAAAGCCUGAGGCUCAACUAGUGAAUUGCCUCUGAUACUGUUCGGCUAGAGUGUAGUUGAGGUAGGCGGAAUGCAUGGUGUAGCGGUGAAAUGCUUAGAGAUCAUGAAGAACACCGAUUGCGAAGGCAGCUUACCAAGCUGCUACUGACGUUGAGGCACGAAAGCGUGGGGAGCAAACAGGAUUAGAUACCCUUGUAGUC